rnacentral:rRNA from 1 species
AUGAGGCUGAAAGAGCUACUUCGUGAGGAAGAACUAAAGUGGGCGCUUCGGGCCAAGGUCCGACGGGUCGUCCAGGGGGACGCGAACACACAAUUUUUUCACAUGAUUGCUAAUGGCAAGCAUAGAAAGAAGAGAAUCUUUCAGCUUGAGCAAGAUGAGGGAACGAUUCUUGGUCAGGAAAACUUAAAGCUGUAUAUCACUGAGUAUUACAAGCAGUUGUUUGGACCUCCAGAGGAGAAUUGGGUGUCGCUGGAUGAGUGUAGGAUUGAGGACGUGCCUCAACUGACAGCUGUUGAGAAUGAUAUCUUAAUUGCUCCUUUCUUUGAGAAAGAGGUAUUUGAGGCCAUUUCCUAG